CCUACUGGAGGCAGCAGUGAGGAAUAUUGGUCAAUGGGCGAGAGCCUGAACCAGCCAAGUCGCGUGAGGGAAGACGGUCCUAUGGAUUGUAAACCUCUUUUGUCGGGGCGCAAAAAGGCCUCGUGAGGCCACAAGUGAGAGUACCCGAAGAAAAAGCAUCGGCUAACUCCGUGCCAGCAGCCGCGGUAAUACGGAGGAUGCGAGCGUUAUCCGGAUUUAUUGGGGUUAAAGGGAGCGUAGGUGGAUUGUUAAGUCAGUUGUGAAAGUUUGCGGCUCAACCGUAAAAUUGCAGUUGAAACUGGCAGUCUUGAGGACAGUAGAGGUAGGCGGAAGUCGUGGUGUAGCGGUGAAAUGCUUAGAUAUCACGAAGAACUCCGAUUGCGAAGGCAGUUCACUGGACUGCAACUGACACUGAGGCUCGAAAGUGUGGGUAUCAAACAGGAUUAGAUACCCCAGUAGUC
rnacentral:rRNA from 1 species